GAUACUGUUGUAUUAACAGCAUGAAAUCUAAGGAAAUAUUGUCCUUUAAGAUCAAAGAAGACAGAUACUGAGCCUCCUGACUGGCCCCAAGGGCACAACGCAAACAGGGCAGGUGAUCUGGGCACCCCAGCAAGGAAGUCAACCUCCCACCCUCCCCACCCCUGCAAGGUCACCUGAAGGCUUCAUUAACUGAGUCAAUUAGGGUUUUAUUUCACUGAAGCUACACUUUACCCAGAUAAUAUGAAAGGGCUGAAGGAAACAGCAGCCCUGUUGAGUUUUCUGCGGAGUAUCAGGAUGGGAGUGGAGCUGGCAGGGGGUCCAAGAAGAUUUCAAGCACCUUUCACCAAACUCAGUCUAUUAUCCCAACUAAGCACUAGGAACCUAGCAUUUUCAUAGCUUCAGAAACACUGGUUAUGAAAAGAGCAUAACAGAGUAACAAAAUAAAGGCAAAUUAUAAUCUA